rnacentral:rRNA from 1 species
CAGUCGCCGCGGUAAUACGUAGGUGGCAAGCGUUGUCCGGAAUUAUUGGGCGUAAAGCGCGUCUAGGUGGUUAUGUAAGUCUGAUGUGAAAGCCCACGGCUCAACCGUGGAGGGUCAUUGGAAACUGUUAAACUUGAGUGCAGGAGAGAAAAGUGGAAUUCCUAGUGUAGCGGUGAAAUGCGUAGAGAUUAGGAGGAACACCAGUGGCGAAGGCGGCUUUUUGGCCUGUAACUGACACUGAGGCGCGAAAGCGUGGGGAGCGAACAGGAUUAGAUACCCGCGUAGUCCCUGUCUCUUAUAC